AUGCCGCGUGAGUGAAGAAGGCUUUGGGUUGUAAAGCUCUUUUGUAGGGGAAGAUAAUGACUGUACCCUAAGAAUAAGGUCCGGCUAACUUCGUGCCAGCAGCCGCGGUAAUACGAAGGGACCUAGCGUAGUUCGGAAUUACUGGGCGUAAAGCGCGCGUAGGCCGUUGAGUUAGUUAAUUGUGAAAUCCCAAAGCUUAACUUUGGAACUGCAAUUAAAACUGCUCGACUAGAGUUUGAUAGAGGAAAGCGGAAUACAUAGUGUAGAGGUGAAAUUCGUAGAUAUUAUGUAGAACACCAGUUGCGAAGGCGGCUUUCUGGGUCAACACUGACGCUGAGGCGCGAAAGUAUGGGUAGCAAAGAGGAUUAGAUACCCUCGUAGUCCAUACCAUAAACGAUGGUUGCUAGAUGUUGGAAAUUUAUUUUCAGUAUCGCAGCUAACGCAUUAAGCAAUCCGCCUGGGGAGUACGACCGCAAGGUUAAAACUCAAAUGAAUUGACGGGGACCCGCACAAGCGGUGGAGCAUGUGGUUUAAUUCGAAGAUACGCGCAGAACCUUACCAAGCCUUGACAUGUCUGUCGCGAGUUUAGGAAACUAGACUUUUCGGUUCGGCCGGACAGAACACAGGUGCUGCAUGGCUGUCGUCAGCUCGUGUCGUGAGAUGUCGCG
rnacentral:rRNA from 1 species